UCCGGUUGAUCCUGCCGGAGGCUACCGCUAUUGGAGUUCGAUUAAGCCAUGCGAGUCGAGAGUCCUCGGGACUCGGCGUACCGCUCAGUAACACGUGGGUAACCUGCCCUAUGCUGGGGAAUAACCUCGGGAAACUGAGAAUAAUGCCCCAUAGCCCACUACGCCUGGAACGGUGAGUGGGUCAAAGCUCCGGCGGCAUAGGAUGGGCCUGCGCCGUAUCAGGUUGUAGGGGGUGUAAAGUACCCUCUAGCCAUCAACGCGUACGGGUGUUGGGAGACAUUGCCCGGAGAUGGAUUCUGAGACACGAAUCCAGACCCUACGGGGUGCAGCAGGCGCGAAAACUUGGCAAUGCGAGAAAUCGUGACCANGGAACUCCAAGUGCGUAGGGUAAGACCUACGCUUUUCUUGACUCUUCAAAGGUCUUGGAAUAAGGGGUGGGUAAGGACGGUGCCAGCCGCCGCGGUAAUACCGGCGCCUCAAGUGGUAGUCGCUUUUAUUGGGCCUAAAACGUCCGUAGCCGGUCUGGUGCAUUCGUGGGUAAAUCAACCCGCUCAACGGGUUGAAUUCUGCGAGCACGGCCAGACU
rnacentral:rRNA from 1 species